rnacentral:siRNA from 1 species
UGCAACAAUGCCCUUUCCUGAUGG